UACAGAGGUGGCAAGCGUUGCUCGGUAUCACUGGGCUUAAAGGGCGCGUAGGCGGUGCGGUACGGUUUCGGUGAAAUCCCUCGGCCCAACCGAGGAACAGCCGGGGCUACGGCCGCGCUAGACGGCAUCAGGGGACAGUGGAACUUCCGGUGGAGCGGUGAAAUGCGUAGAUAUCGGAAGGAACGCCGGUGGCGAAAGCGACUGUCUGGGGUGCCUGUGACGCUGAGGCGCGAAAGCCAGGGGAUCAAAC
rnacentral:rRNA from 1 species